UAGAGUUUGAUCCUGGCUCAGAAUCAACGCUGGCGGCGUGCCUAACACAUGCAAGUCGAACGCGAAAGGGGCUUCGGCCCUGAGUAGAGUGGCGAACGGGUGAGUAACACGUGGGUGACCUACCCUCGAGUGGGGGAUAACAUCCCGAAAGGGGUGCUAAUACCGCAUGACAUCCUGUCUUUGAACAGAUGGACAUUAAAGCCGGGGAUCGCAAGACCUGGCGCUCGAGGAGGGGCUCGCGUCCGAUUAGCUAGUUGGUGGGGUAAUGGCCUACCAAGGCGACGAUCGGUAGCCGGCCUGAGAGGGCGGACGGCCACACUGGGACUGAGACACGGCCCAGACUCCUACGGGAGGCAGCAGUGGGGAAUUGUUCGCAAUGGGCGCAAGCCUGACGACGCAACGCCGCGUGGAGGACGAAGAUCUUCGGGUC
rnacentral:rRNA from 1 species